ACGGAGGGUGCAAGCGUUAUUCGGAAUCACUGGGUGUAAAGCGCGUGUAGGCGGUUUGGUAAGUCAGGUGUGAAAGCUUCGGGCUUAACCCGAAAAGUGCACUUGAAACUGCCAGGCUUGAGUUCCGGAGAGGAAGGUGGAAUUCCCAGUGGAGAGGCGACAGUAGGGGGUAUGGGGAGGAGAAGCGGAGGCGUAGGCGACCAUCUGGAUGGUGUCUGCGACUGAGACGGGGAUGUGUCGGAUGCAGGCAG
rnacentral:rRNA from 1 species